rnacentral:miRNA from 1 species
CACUGGACUUGGAGUCAGAAGGCC